UGAUUCUGCCGGACCCGACUGCUAUCAGAGUGGGACUAAGCCAUGCGAGUCAACAUAGCAAUAUGUGGCAUACGGCUCAGUAACACGUAGUCAACAUGCCCAGGGGACGUGGAUAACCUCGGGAAACUGAGGAUAAACCGCGAUAAGUCACUACUUCUGGAAUGGGUAAUGACUCAAAUCUAUAUGGCCCCUGGAUUGGACUGCGGCCGAUCAGGCUGUUGGUGAGGUAAUGGCCCACCAAACCUGUAACCGGUACGGGCUCUGAGAGGAGGAGCCCGGAGAUGGGCACUGAGACAAGGGCCCAGGCCCUAUGGGGCGCAGCAGGCGCGAAACCUCUGCAAUAGGCGAAAGCUUGACAGGGUUACUCUGAGUGAUUUCCGUUAAGGAAAUCUUUUGGCACCUCUAAAAAUGGUGCAGAAUAAGGGGUGGGCAAGUCUGGUGUCAGCCGCCGCGGUAAUACCAGCACCCCGAGUGGUCGGGACGUUUAUUGGGCCUAAAGCAUCCGUAGCCGGUUCUACAAGUCUUCCGUUAAAUCCAACUGCUUAACAGGUGGGCUGCGGAAGAUACUAUAGAGCUAGGAGGCGGGAGAGGCAAGCGGUACUCGAUGGGUAGGGGUAAAAUCCGUUGAUCCAUUGAAGACCACCAGUGGCGAAGGCGGCUUGCCAGAACGCGCUCGACGGUGAGGGAUGAAAGCUGGGGGAGCAAACCGGAUUAGAUACCCGGGUAGUCCCAGCUGUAAACGAUGCAGACUCGGUGAUGAGUUGGCUAUAUGCCAACUCAGUGCCGCAGGGAAGCCGUUAAGUUUGCCGCCUGGGGAGUACGGUCGCAAGACUAGAACUUAAAGGAAUUAGCGGGGGACCACCAC
rnacentral:rRNA from 1 species